GACGAACGCUGGCGGCGUGCUUAACACAUGCAAGUCGAACGGAAAGGCCCUGCUUUUGUGGGGUGCUCGAGUGGUGAACGGGUGAGUAACACGUGAGUAACCUGCCCUUGACUUUGGGAUAACUUCAGGAAACUGGGGCUAAUACCGGAUAGGAGCUCCUGCUGCAUGGUGGGGGUUGGAAAGUUUCGGCGGUUGGGGAUGGACUCGCGGCUUAUCAGCUUGUUGGUGGGGUAGUGGCUUACCAAGGCUUUGACGGGUAGCCGGCCUGAGAGGGUGACCGGCCACAUUGGGACUGAGAUAGGGCCAAGACUCCUACGGGAGGCAGCAGUGGGGAAUAUUGCACAAUGGGCGGAAGCCUGAUGCAGCAACGCCGCGUGCGGGAUGACGGCCUUCGGGUUGUAAACCGCUUUCGCCUGUGACGAAGCGUGAGUGACGGUAAUGGGUAAAGAAGCACCGGCUAACUACGUG
rnacentral:rRNA from 1 species